UACAGAGGUCCCGAGCGUUGUUCGGAUUCAUUGGGCGUAAAGGGUGCGUAGGCGGCGGGGCAAGUCUGAUGUGAAAUCCCGGGGCUCAACCCCGGAACUGCAUUGGAUACUGCCUUGCUUGAGUACUGGAGAGGGAACUGGAAUUUACGGUGUAGCAGUGAAAUGCGUAGAGAUCGUAAGGAAGGCCAGUGGCGAAGGCGAGUUCCUGGACAGUUACUGACGCUGAGGCACGAAGGCCAGGGGAGCAAAUGGG
rnacentral:rRNA from 1 species